CCCUGUUACCGGACAGAGAACCGGUUCCGAACUCAGUGAGGUUCAGCUGCUCACCGCUUGACAAUGAGCACUCGAGAGAGAAGUGAUGUGUGGAAGGAAAGGUUGCUUUAUUCAGGAAGCUGGCGACCUGGGAAGAGGACGGACUAAAGGCCCAAAGACCAUCUUCCCCGUCCAGGGUGAUUCUAAAGGAGGGGCCCAGACCGGAAGGCGGGCAGCUAAAUAGAUCAAGACCACGAAACGUCGGGGAGAUCGGUUGUUCCCUGACUGUGAAUUUCCACUUCUCCAGAGGCAUUUAUCCUGCAGCGGGUGGAACUCGCUAUCGCACAAACACCUUGCUCAUUGAGCAGAUCCUAAUCGAGGCUAUGUGGCCGUCCAAAAGUACUUUGGCCGCUGGGCUGCCGCUGCUGUGGCCGUGGAGCUGGCCGGUUCUUCCAAUGUCAGGGAGAGAUUUCUGACCACGUGUUCAUCAGCACUGUUCCAGCCACGGAAGAAAGACACUCCCGCUGGAGGCCAACACUGAAUCAGGACCUGUACCCCGGCCCUACACACAACUUCUCAUACAGGUAACGUGUACCCUCGUGAAGGUCAGGGAGGUAGUGACCUCCUUGGAAUCUUCCAGCACAACAGGUAACACUUAAGGAGGGACCAGGCAGGUGUCAGGAACGUUCUCCCAAGACCACCGACGCACCCAGAGCCCUGGCUCCAGGGCACCAGUGACUUAUGGAGUAUGCCUAGAUGCUCAUCUUUGUUCCUGGGUUACUGAGAAGACAUGUGCCCCAGGCCCCAAGCGAAGGUGAGACUCCCUCUCCUCUCCUUUCUGAGUCUCCCAGACUCUUUUGUGUCUUUAAUAAACUGUGCUCUCACUUC